rnacentral:tRNA from 1 species
CCCUGAGUAGUGUAAAUGGUUAGCAUGUUUGGCUACUAACCAAAAGGUUGGAGGUUUGAGUCCACCCAGAGGCA